UACGUAGGGUGCGAGCGUUGUCCGGAAUUAUUGGGCGUAAAGAGCUUGUAGGCGGUUUGUCGCGUCUGCUGUGAAAAUCCGGGGCUCAACCCCGGACUUGCAGUGGGUACGGGCAGACUAGAGUGUGGUAGGGGAGACUGGAAUUCCUGGUGUAGCGGUGAAAUGCGCAGAUAUCAGGAGGAACACCGAUGGCGAGGGCAGGUCUCUGGGCCACUACUGACGCUGAGAAGCGAAAGCAUGGGGAGCGAACAGG
rnacentral:rRNA from 1 species